AAUCCUGUUUCAUAAUUUAUGAUAUUUUACAGUUUAUAUGAUUUUAGAUUUGAUUCGAAAGAGGAAGAAAAUAUUUAUGGAAUCCUUUUACUGACAGGAAUUAAAAAUGAAAAGAGAAACAUAUAUCGAAGAGACAGAGUGAAGUAGAAUGUUUGACUCAAACUCUGAACCUACUCAAUCUUUUUAAAGCACAUACUGACACACAAUGUAAUCAUUUUAAAUGAACUAUGCUAAAUAAUGUAAUCAUGCCAUCGAGGUGUACUAUAUGAAAGGUGCUUUUUUAAUGGAGGCACAUUUAGUCCUUAUCUGCGCUGUCAAAUGAUUAACAUUUCUGAAAUUUAACUGAUUUAUCGUGAUUAAUCACAUUAUUAAUCACAUUUGAAUUUCCAUUAUUUCACAUUUAAAAAUAAAAAUUGUUGGGUUCUUGUCUUUAGCUGAGAGUACUUUACUUGCUGUGUGCUUUUAUUUUGAAAUACAGUAAGGCCUAGUUUAGCACAAACACUGGAAUCAGAAGGAAACUGCUAGUCUAGCUGAAAUCAACCAUCAUUGACAGAAGGUUUGACUACAAGGUUCACCGUCUUAUUUUACAGGAAAGAUUUCUGAAAGGGUUUUAUUUAUUAAUUUAAGUUUUAGAAACAUUUCCAUCCUCCCCUCAACCAUAAGAGAGAAACAUAUUAUUGAUGUUGUAUCAAUGAUAUAUAUUUGAUCCUCUUUAA